UGAACGCAUGAAUAGAACCAUCAU
rnacentral:snRNA from 1 species